rnacentral:tRNA from 1 species
CAUUAAGUUACUUAAGUGCAAGUACUG